GGCGAGUGAAGCGGGAAGAGCUCAAGCUUAAAAUCUCCCGUGCAAGUUUUGUGCGGCGAAUUGUAGUCUAUAGAGGCGUGGUCAGCGUGGGCGCUUGGGGCAAGUUCCUUGGAAGAGGACAGCAUGGAGGGUGAUACUCCCGUUCAUCCCUGAGUGGCUCGUGCGUACGACCCGUUUUCUUUGAGUCGCGUUGUUUGGGAAUGCAGCGCAAAGUAGGUGGUAAAUUCCAUCUAAAGCUAAAUAUUGGUGCGAGACCGAUAGCGAACAAGUACCGUGAGGGAAAGAUGAAAAGAACUUUGAAAAGAGAGUUAAAGAGUACCUGAAACUGCUGAAAGGGAACCGAAUCGUUUCCAGUGUCUAUAAUCUGUGGCAUAUUUCAUUGGCGAGCGUUUGCGUGCGUGUGCUGUGGCAGUGGCUUUUUUGGCUGCGCCUGGUGUGUGUGGUGUGAGUGUUUGCUGGUGCCCUGUGCUGCGGUGGGACGUCAAGGUCAGUUCGUAUGCUGCGGGAAAUGGCUGCCGAGGAGGUAGGGCUUACGCUCCGCGUUUGUCUGUUAUAUCUUGGUGGACGAGUCGUCGCGGUUGGGACUGAGGUGCCUACAACGUGCUUUUGAGUGGGUUUGUGUCUCCGUGUGCGCCGUGUGCGGAUAGCUUGCUAUGCGUGUGUGGUUGUGUGUGGAUUGAUGCGGGCCUUAACUUGUCCGCCGUUUCGGGACGUUGA
rnacentral:rRNA from 1 species